rnacentral:rRNA from 1 species
CGAGUCGAACGAAGGAUCCCUUCGGGGGUCUUUAGUGGCGAACGGGUGAGUAAGACGUAAGGAACCUGCCCCUAUGCCUGGAUAACUCUGGGAAACGAGAGCUAAUACCGGAUAGGUGAACGGAAGACAUCUUCGGUUCAUGAAAGAUGGGGAACAUCACAGAGGGAUGGCCUUACGGCGCAUUAGCUAGUUGGAGAGGUAGAGGCUCACCAAGGCGAUGAUGCGUAGCCGGCCUGAGAGGGUGAACGGCCACAUUGGGACUGAGACACGGCCCAGACUCCUACGGGUAGGCAGCAGUAGGGAAUUUUCGGCAAUGGGCGAAAGCCUGACCGAGCAAUGCCGCGUGAGUGAAGAAGGCCUUCGGGUUGUAAAGCUCUGUUGUAAAGGAAGAACGGAUGGCAUAGGGAAUGAUGCCAUUGUGACGGUACUUUACGAGGAAGUCACGGCUAACUACGUGCCAGCAGCCGCGGUAAUACGUAGGUGGCGAGCGUUAUCCGGAUUUAUUGGGCGUAAAGCGUCCGCAGCCGGUUUAUUAAGUAUAGAAUAAAACUUCGGGGCUCAACCCCGUCUCGUUCUAUAAACUGAUAGACUAGAGUGUGGUAGAGGCAAGUGGAAUUUCUAGUGUAGCGGUAGAAUGCGUAGAUAUUAGGAGGAACACCAGUGGCGAAGGCGGUCUGCUGGACAGCAACUGACGCUGAGGCGCGAAAGCGUGGGGAGCAAACAGGAUUAGAUACCCUGGUAGUCCACGCUGUAAACGAUGGAUACUAGGUGUGGGGGGACUGACCCCCCCCGUGCCGCAGUUAACACAAUAAGUAUCCCACCUGGGGAGUACGAUCGA